rnacentral:rRNA from 1 species
CUGCAACUCGACUCCAUGAAGCUGGAUUCGCUAGUAAUCGCGCAUCAGCCAUGGCGCGGUGAAUACGUUCCCGGGCCUUGUACACACCGCCCGUCAAGCCAUGGGAGUCGGGAGUGCCUGAAGUUCGUGACCGUCACAGGAGCGACCUAAGGCAAGACCGAUGACUGGGGCUAAGUCGUAACAAGGUACC